UUCGUAAGGGGAAUAUGAGUGUUUGUUUUUUUGUAGUUUUUGAGUCAAUUGCAUACCGCUUUUAGCUGUACACAUUAAUUAACUUAAACAGUUUUCGUAAAUGCAUUUCAGAGAAACGUGAAUUCUGAGAUUUGAAUAAUGCAUCUGACGUGUGGGAUGACGUCACGACGCACGUAUUUUGAUUUUUAACAGUCGUUCAAGACAGACGGAUUCAGUCCCAAGAAGCUAAAGUUUUUCAAAGACAUUUGUAGGGAGGACUUUGCAGCUAAUGAUUUCCUAAGGCUGAACCAAAACCUGCCAGACUAAAGUUGAUUUGGGAGAGAAAGACGUUGUAAACUUAAUCAUCUUGACAUUCUUCAAUGAGUAAUUGUUCAAUUUUUAGGCAAAUACUGUACACUUUGAAUGCUGUGAAUAAAACUAUAUUUUAAAUAUAUUUAAAAUGAA